AUUGGCAGACAGCUACAGUGGGCUGCAACUUAACCCUCGAUGAGCAAUGCUCUUUGCUUUUGUUGUUGUUGGGCACAGAAGUAGCGGGUAUUACUUCCAUGUUUGAGGUGAGGAUGUCUAAACACGACAUCCCAAAGGUGGGAGACAAGGAGAGCAGAGAGUGGCUUCUGACAUCCAGUCCACAGCCCGGAAGCCUGCAGGGUGUCAGCCCUGAGGCUCUGGCGAGCUCUGCCCUGAGGACGUUCAACGAAGAUUCAGGCCUGGGGCGUCAGUGCUAGCGCUGGCCACCAGGGGGCAGCCGCCUCCCGCGGCAGAGCUGCGCGCUGAGCGUUCCCGGAGCAGACACAGCGCUGCCGAGGUGACUCUGGCCGUGCCCCUGCCUCAUGAAGCACACGCGCCUCCUGUUGUGAGAGGUCCUCUCUGCAGACUGAGGUGGGCGGACGCAGCGGGAGAGCGCCGCGAUCUUUCCCGCCGUGCUCUGAGCGCGCGUGCUUGCCAGGACUGGAGCCACUGGGAGCCACUGUGGAGUGAAUAUAGCGAUAUAUUCACUGCAACUCACUCAGAGCAAGAAAUUGGGACACUGCAUUUACCACAAUGAGAGGUCCUAUGAGUUCCUGGGUACAGAGGUCACGCCGCACUCUUUAUUGCCCUGUGGCUACAAAGUAAGCUCUCUCCUGGGACUGAGAUACUGUAAACCUCAGUGGAAACAGUGAAAUGAGUGGCUACCUUUGAAGGUGAGCUGACCUCGGGGGUAAUUCCAGCCUUAUUUCUCACUGUUCCCACCUGUGCCUAUGUAGACAGUGUACAGAUUGAAGAAGGCAUCAUGUCAUGUGCACAUCUCAUCA